rnacentral:rRNA from 1 species
UUGUGGUUAAAAAGCUCGUAGUUGGAUCUCGGCGGACUGAGGGCGGUUUGCUUGCUAGUAUUACUGCCCUAUAGUCCGUAGUUUUGCCAGAGGUUUCGGGGUGCUCUUAAUCGAGUGUCCCGGGAUGCUGGCAGGUUUACUUUGAAAAAAUUAGAGUGCUCAAAGCAGGCUAUUACGCCUGAAUAUUCGUGCAUGGAAUAAUAGAAUAGGAAGUCGUUUCUAUUUUGUUGGUUUUCGGAAAUCGACUUAAUGAUUAAUAGGGACAGUCGGGGGCAUUUGCAUUCAAACGACAGAGGUGAAAUUCUUGGACCGUUUGAAGACAAACUACAGCGAAAGCAUUUGCCAAGAAUGUUUUCAUUAAUCAAGAACGAAAGUUAAAGGUUCGAAGGCGAUUAGAUACCGCCCUAGUUUUAACCAUAAACGAUGCCAGCUAGCGAUCUGCGGACGUUUUUUUUGUAGACUCCGCAGGAAGCUUCCGGGGAAACCAAAGCAU